rnacentral:rRNA from 1 species
UACAGAGGUCCCGAGCGUUUGUUCGGAUUCACUGGGCGUAAAGGGUGCGUAGGUGGGUUGGUAAGUCAGUGGUGAAAUCUCCGUGCUUAACAUGGAAACUGCCAUUGAUACUACUGAUCUUGAAUUUUCAGGAGGUAAGCGGAAUAUGUCAUGUAGCGGUGGAAUGCUUAGAUAUGACAUAGAACACCAAUUGCGAAGGCAGCUUACUACAGGAAUAUUGACACUGAUGCACGAAAGCGUGGGGAUCAAACAGG